GCUGUUGCUCAGUGGCAGGGCAUCUACUUGGCACACAGAAGAUCCCAGGUUCAAUCCUUGGUGUCUCCA
rnacentral:tRNA from 1 species